rnacentral:rRNA from 1 species
AGAGUUUGAUCCUGGCUCAGAUUGAACGCUGGCGGAAUGCUUUACACAUGCAAGUCGAGCGGCAGCGCGGGGGCAACCCUGGCGGCGAGCGGCGAACGGGUGAGUAACACAUCGGAACGUACCCUAUCGUGGGGGAUAACGAAUCGAAAGAUUCGCUAAUACCGCAUACGACCUGAGGGUGAAAGCGGGGGAUCGCAAGACCUCGCGCGAUUGGAGCGGCCGAUGCCGGAUUAGCUAGUUGGUGGGGUAAAGGCUCACCAAGGCGACGAUCCGUAGCUGGUCUGAGAGGACGACCAGCCACACUGGAACUGAGACACGGUCCAGACUCCUACGGGAGGCAGCAGUGAGGAAUAUUGCGCAAUGGAGGAAACUCUGACGCAGCGACGCCGCGUGAAGGAUGAAGGCCCUCUGGGUUGUAAACUUCUGUAGAGUGGGAAGAAUUUUCGCCUCCGGCGAAUUGACGGUACCACUAAAGUAAGGGUCGGCUAACUACGUGCCAGCAGCCGCGGUAAUACGUAGGACCCGAGCGUUGUCCGGAAUCACUGGGUGUAAAGGGAGCGCAGGCGGACUUUCAAGUCGAUGGUGAAAUCUUACGGCUCAACCGUAAAACUGCCGUCGAUACUGCUUGUCUUGAGUGUGGAAGAGGGUGGCAGAAUUCAUGGUGUAGCGGUGAAAUGCGUAGAUAUCAUGAAGAAUACCAGUCGCGAAGGCGGCCACCUGGUCCAUUACUGACGCUCAUGCUCGAAAGCGUGGGGAGCAAACAGGAUUAGAUACCCUGGUAGUCCACGCCCUAAACGAUGAAUACUCGGUGUUGGGUCGCAAGACUCAGCGCCUAAGCAAACGCAUUAAGUAUUCCACCUGGGAAGUACGAUCGCAAGGUUGAAACUCAAAGGAAUUGACGGGGGCCCGCACAAGCAGUGGAGCAUGUGGUUUUAAUUCGACGCAACGCGAAGAACUUUACCUUGGCUUGAAAGGCAAGAUUUUAGUCCUUUGAAAGAGGAUUACCCCGCCAGGGGUCCUUGUACAGUUGCUGCAUGGCUUGUCGUCAGCUCCGUGCCCUUGGAGGUGUUAGGUUAAGUCCUGCAAACGAGCGCAACCCCCUAACACCUUAGUUGCCAUUCAAGUUAAAUGCUUGGCAACCUCUAAGGUGAACUUGCUAUACGCAAGGUUAGCCGAAGGAAAGGUGGGGGAAUGGACCUUCAAGUUCCUCUAUGUCCUUUUACGCCCCAAGGCCCACACACAACGUGUUCUAUACAAAGUGUGUCCCACUAUAC